GCAAGUCGAACGGUAACGGGACCAGCUUGCUGGUUGCCGACGAGUGGCGGACGGGUGCGUAACGCGUGGAAAUCUACCUAUAAGUUGGGGACAACCUGAGGAAACUCAGGCUAAUACCGAAUAUGGUCUACGGACUAAAGAUUGCCUCUCCUUGGAAGCAGUCGCUUGUAGAUGAGUCCGCGUUGGAUUAGCUAGAUGGUGGGGUAAAGGCCUACCAUGGCGACGAUCAGUAGCCGACCUGAGAGGGUGAUC
rnacentral:rRNA from 1 species